GACCCUGGCGUCAACUUUGGAAAUGAACGAGUCUGUCUCUCCCUCUCCUUGAUUUUUUUUUUCCUUUCCUUUUUUUCUGAUUUUCUUUCUUCUUUCUUUCUUCCUCCUCUCUCUUCCCAUCCUUCCCACUACCCCGCCUCCCUCCCUCCCUCUCUCUCUUUCCUCCCUUUAAGGCAUUAAAGGGACAUUAGAAGGACAAGGACAACAAAAGCCAUUUUCCUGCAAGAGAAAGAAAGGAUCCCAGGCCCUGUGUCUUCUCUUCCAGUUGUUCAGGCUAUUAUGGUACUACAAAUAGUGUUCCCCAAUUUGUUGUAUGGCCGGAGAGAAUCCACAGUGAGGGCUUUGGGUUGACGGCCUUCAUUAAAUCACCCAACUUGAGAAGCUGCCAAUGCCUGGAGGUCACCUGUUCUGGAUAUUACAUAUAAAUGGAACCACGUCUUGGAGCGCAGCUACUUUCGGAGGUGUCCUUGUGACCUGUGGGAAGCUCACCCGGUCGUACCCAACGUUGGCCCAGCAGGUGCUCCACAGAUGCAUCCUCUCUCCACCUGCUGUCAUUCCGUUUUCCUCCUUCCUGGCUCGGAGGGCAAACAGCACCUUGCUGUGCAAGCAGGGAAUGGACUGCUUGCUUUUUCUCAGCCCCUAUGGGUGCGUCUCUGCGGGAAUCCCUCCCCUACACAAGUAGGGGGUGGAUGGAGAAGAAGGCAUGUCCCCAAUGCACAGAGAAAAAGCCAUUGUAUUCACUGGCCAGUCUCUCCCGAUUCCCACUGCCUCGCCUCCCCCGCAGAAGUGCUUACCUGGCCUGACGUGGGCUAAUUAUAGCGGAAGCCCAGUUAAUAAGCCCUGGGGGAGUGUGGCAUCUGUCCCCAUUUCUCCCCUAUAUCCUUUACCAUAUGUGUUAUUUAGCUGCUGUUGUUUCCAGCUGCAGGCCCCAGGACCAACCUGCCGCAGGAAGGUCCUAUCUGAUGUCGACUCACAGGUCAUUUUGAUAAUGUUCCUCCCCCACUCAGCGACUUUCCAUGGCUCUCUUUUAGGAAUGGGUAAAUCCCAAACUCCUGACUUUGCAUUCAAGGCCCUCGACCAACUAGUUGCAAUUUCGCUUUCCUUCUCACUAUGCCCCACACAGACUCUGCUCCUUUCAAGCUGGCCUGCUCUACUCACUGCCCCCAGAACGGCCUCGCUCCAUUUGGGCUGGGGUCCUUCCCUCUCUCAGCCCCACCUGGAAUGUGCUCCCCUCUUCCUGGACGGAAGGCUCUUGGCCAAUGAAGCUUGACCCACCUGUCCCCUCAUCCGCCGUCGUGUCCUUGAUGAGGGAAACCAGCAGAGCCGGACAGAAAGGGGACUAGCCAAGGCCACAGAACCCAAGCCUUUUUCCUGGCUGGUGAGAGUGUCGUGAGGAAUCAGUAGGGAAGGGGACUCUGGGUGGCUCCACCGUCUUCCAGGGACACCUGCCUGGAGCCUGCUGGGACUGGGGAUGGAGAAAGGAUGGAUGGUCAUGCACAUUCUGUUUGGGGUUCCUUCAGGUUGAGCCAGAGGUGCAUUCUGGGGUGGCAGGUUUAGGUGCAGAGAUGGGGAGAAGGGAGAGAGCCAGAGAGUUGAAAGGGUAGGGAAGGGAAGGCAGAAACAGAGGAAGGGCCAAGUCAAUGUGGGGCGAGGUGGGAGGGGAAUAGAUUUAGGAAUCCCAGACUCUGGGGAGAAGUGGGGUCUUUCUCAUCUUGCCAGAGGGAGGAGACCCUGCUCAUUGGCUCCUGCUGAUUCUGUGCUCCCCCCUGCUCUCCCUCCUCCCCUCACCCAUCAUCCCCUUAUCCUCGAGUCACCUGCCUUAACCGGGGAGAGCGGCCCCAGCCCAGGGUGUGCUCCUCCCCGGCACCCUCCUCUCUGCGCUGUGCCCAGCUCGGUUUUUGUGCUUCUGCUUUGGUUUAUUUCAGCUGGAGGAGCUGACCUGGGCCGCGGAGGGACAGUCCCUGCUCUGGUCACUUCCCCCGUCCGUGCAGCCUGACCUUUCUCAGGAUGCUUAGAGCCACCGUGACGCCAGAAGCGUGCCUUGGCCAAGCUGGCACCUGCACGGCGCGUGCCCAGAGCCCGCGGGUCGUCUUCUUUCCGGGGCCCUCGGCUAGGCCCUGGCUCGCUCAGGCCAGCGGGCAGCGUUCUGCGGCGAGGUCCGCGGACGCCCGCACAUCUUGGCUCCCUUACACGUGAGGGCACGGGGAGGUCUCAGGAAAGCUCAGGAUUCACGGGCUUCUCCAGGGCCUGGGAUGUGGUGCGCCCUCAGCUGAGGGGGCCGCUGCCCUCUUCUGGGGUGUCAGUAUUAUCCCCGCAGGCAUUCUCGGCCUGGAUCCUUGGCGCCUGGACUGCUGCGUCUGCAAAGACGCCUGGCCCCCAAACGCUCCCUUCCAUUGGGUCAGUGGCUGUUGGAUUCACUUUGCUAAAAGCCAUCUCUUAUCUUGUCACUCUUCCCCUCAAUAACCGUCAGUGGCUCCCGCUGCCCACGGAAUAAAUAACCGAUUUGUGCCUUCA